rnacentral:rRNA from 1 species
UACGAAGGGGGCUAGCGUUGUUCGGAAUUACUGGGCGUAAAGCGCACGCAGGCGGUGGUCAUAGUCAGAAGUGAAAGCCCUGGGCUCAACCCGGGAAUUGCUUUUGAUACUGGACCGCUAGAAUCACGGAGAGGGUAGUGGAAUUCCGAGUGUAGAGGUGAAAUUCGUAGAUAUUCGGAAGAACACCAGUGGCGAAGGCGACUACCUGGCCGUCGAUUGACGCUCAUGUGCGAAAGCGUGGGGAGCAAACAGG